CAGGCGACCGAGGCUAAGCAGUCUGCCCAGAGGAAACUGGCCCGUUGAAAGGAAGAGGAAGAGGCAAAGUCAAAUCUGUUAGGGAGUUCCUGGACGGCUUCAAGCCGGAACGAUUAUUCAGCAAAGGGCUGAUGAGCCCCAGAUAAAAUUUGCACUUACUUGAAAUGGAUGCAGCAGGCCUACGGAGAACCUGCCAACCUCUGUGAAAAGAUUUCAUUAUGUUACACUUGCCUCUAAGCGUCGCUCGGAUUUAGAAACACCUCUGAAAGCUGGGCAAGCGCAUCUGCAGCUCGGAGGAUGGAAAAGUCACACCGCAAUGCCCCAGGCACACAAAGGGCGCUAGAAGCCUCAGCCUGUUUUGGAGUCUCUAGGUUUGUUUUCCAGCUCACGCGGCCGCACAGCUGCUGAGGCGCUUUCACGGGCAGCCAGCAGAGGGCAGGAGAGCCUGGAAGGCAGCACCCAAUUCCUGCCCGCCACGUGCUGGAGAUGCAAACUCCGGCCAACGCCCCUCCUCUCAAUACCUUCACUUCCUAUACAGCGCUCUGUGUGGCUUCCACAGAUGGAGGUGAUGGUGGUAGUGAAGCAUUCUUCAGGGGACAAUGGCAUAACGGGAUCUUGGUAAGGUGUUUGGGACUCAAGGAAAACAAAACCGAAUUACAGGGCCAUGAAGAGUAAUUCCCCUGAGGCACUAGCUGAGAGAGCUUCCAGCUGGGGCUGUGGGGGAGCGAACCGCAAGGUAGCUUCUCCAAGGCACUGUCUGUGCCCUGCAAUCUCUGAUCAGAGGAAACCCAGUCAGGGGACCUGCUUCUUGUCCCCAAGGCCACUCUCAGGAAGCUCAGGCGGAAGCUCUGCCAGCCCUGCUUCCUCCUAACCUUAUCUUCCAGCCAACUGCACCCGCCCAGCCUGCAGUGGAGCCCCUCCCCCUAUUAAGAGGGAAGGUUGGGGGUGGGGCUUCACAUCUAGAGCACCUGCUGUCACUAAGGCUGCAGGGGGAGCGGACAGGACAUCAGUGUGCUCGGCUACCUCAAGGUCCUCCCGAUCAGCACCCUGUGACAGACAGGACACCCACUCCAGAUAAGGCAGAGAUGUCCAAAGUCAAGCUGAACACACAGGGCAGAGCAGGUUGGCCGAGCUCCCAGCCUGGGCUCUCCCUGCCACUACACAGCUGUACCAGCCUGGCUCUGGACCCAGGACACUCUCCCACCAUGGCCCCUCAGCCUUGGGAAGAAGACUGGGAGACAUGGAGUCCAGAGUUCAGCUUCCAUCCCAUCCCUGAGCAUCCCACCUGCACCUGAAGCCUUGACAUCGUCAGCGCUGACUGAGGAUAGCGCUGAGGUUGCUGGCAUCUGGGAGCUAGACACUGCCUUGAGUCAUCUCUGAGAAAACAUCACAGAAGCAGCUGAAUCCCUGCUGGGGCAGGAGCAGAGCCCUGAGAGCAGGGUACUCCUGACAGCUCCUUCACAGACAAGGACAUCAAGGCACAGAGAAGCAAGGCCACUUCUCCGGGACCACACAGCAGGAGGAACUCAGAUUCAGACUCAGCAGUGUGCUCUGCAGCCUCUCUCUGGGUGUGCUGGGUCCUAUAAAUGACGAAAUUACCCUUCCUUGUGUGUCAACAACACUAGGGAGGAAGAGAUGACUAAGCCCUGCCCACCGCUGUCGGCCAGUGUUUGCCUGUCCUGACACUGAGCACAGUGAGCUAGGGCCGGGCCCCUCUACGGCAGGCUGCUGGAAAGGCAGGCCAGGUCUGCACCUGCAGGAGAACAGAGCAGUGACAGCAUGAGACCAGCGAGGAAAUCCCUCUGGCUGCUGAAGAGAAAGUCCCUAGAGAUCAGCUAGCUCCUCGGAAAGACACAUCUCACCAAUCAGACAACUCAUCUGCAUAUGCAUAUUUCCCGUCUUGCUCGUGCUGUAAUGCCUCAGCAGGCAAGGCCAAAUCUGCAAAUGAGUGUAUAACCUUUGGUCAGUUCCUGCCUCCUGGAUCAGAUUGUGUACUAACCCUGAGACAGGCUGAGACACUGGGCACCACUUUGCCUGUAGGUGCCUCUACCCUGACAAAGGAGGAGUUUGCUACGGGGAAGCAAGCUGGAGACUAUCGAUAGGGCAUGAAGGGAUGACAAAGUGCCCUAGACCGCACAGGGCCUGCUGUGAGCCCUGGAUUGAACCACCCCCCAGGCUGGGGUUCCGCUUCUCUGACCAGCAUGCCUCCAGGGCAGAGGCUUCUGAACCUGUAGUCACCUCAGCCAGUUAGACCUGCUGGCCCAGAUCUGACCAGGCCUGAGCCACCACCUUCUGGCUCAGCAGGAAAUUCAGGUUUUCAGCUGGUGCAAAGCCGGGAACACAACCAGGAAGGUGAUGGGCAUAAGAGCUGUGUAGCUAUGCACACCUGUGGGGGUACACUGCCUGUUCUUUCCCCCGCCCCCAGCCCCCUCCUGAACCUAAGAGCAUGGAAGGAAUGGCCACUGCAGGCCCUUUCCCUGGGACAUAACAGAAAAGUCAGAGAGCAUGGCGCAUCCUCUGCCUUCCCCAUCUUUCACCUGCAGUCCGGCCCUGUUUCCUCUAAUGUCCCUCUGCCUCCUCUAAUGCCAGGGCCUUAGCAGAACAGGGGCAGGUUCCCAAGAGGGCCGGCUCUACGCAGAGCAGAGGCCUUCCUAUUACAGGCCAAGUGGUCAGCACUCCGAGAGCAGCACCUUUCCCAAAACGAGCAUGACUGCCCGGGCAGGUGGGGACAUCAGGCUGCUUCAGGGAAUGCUGGGGGUUCCCAAACUGACAAAUGUUCACAGGGCUCCUACCUGCUCCCAUGCCUUCUAUCCAGAAGCCCCAAGCUGAUGCCCAGACAGAGGGAAGGCAGACAGCUCGAGGGGAGGGGAUAAAUAGCUGUAGUCCCCAGUCUGAGAAACAAAAGUGGCUUCUGCCCACAUCCCUGGCUCCUAGAGGCCCCCGCCAUUACCUCCCCAUCCUCUAGCCAGUGAGGAAGGCACCAGAUGUCCCUGUACAGAAAAGAACACAACAGGGGCCUAGAGGGAGCAGUGAGACGGGUGCCAAAGGGGGUGAGGCCUGGUACCACGGGCGGGUGAAUGGCAGGAUACCAGGCCAGCUCUGGCUCCCACCGUGGGGCUGGCAAGCCGGAAGAGGGCGGCUCGGUGCUGCCUUGUGAGAGGGACACGUCCAGCACCCAUCUUCCAGAGCGCGCUCUGCAGGAGUUAUUCUCCCCACGUAAAGAUAGGCAGCUGUGGCCUAGGGAAGGGGGUGCUCUGCUCAAGGUGACACCUGACCUCAAGAAGGCGCCUCAGGCUGGAACCAGGCCCGGCCGGCUCUUCCUGAUAUUUGGGGAGAAGAGAAGACAAGAGGAAAGGAAUCCAGCUGACGAAGCUGGGAGGCAGAGAGACAGGAAGGCUGGCUCUCAGAGGGUAGGAAGCCUGGGACCUAGGAGGCUACUAAGGGGCUAGGGAGCUGGGGAGAGGAGGCUGGGAGGCAGGAAGGGUGGAGGGACUGAGAGACUGGGAAGCCGCAGGCUGGGAGGGUAAGAGACAGGGACACUGAACAGCUUGGGGACUUGGAGGCUGUCUAAGGAGAAUCCCAUGGGAUCUCCUCUGCCCAACACACUGCCCAGUGGACUCGGGCCUGACCUGCCUCCUGACCAAGACUGAAGCCGACUACUGUCCUGCGGGCCCCGCUCUGAUAUCCCCAUCCGUGCCAACCUCGCGGGAUGUGACCCAAGCCAAGGCUGGCAGUUCACCCUUCCUCUUCAGCCACAGCUAGAAAGGCAGCUGGACGGGUGCCAAGGAGGGAGGAUGAAGGAGCUAAGACUCCUGAACCCGGGGAAAAGGGCUCCUCGAGGGCAGUGACUCCGUUGGGUCACACCACCCUGGCACACUCAGACAUCAUUCCACACAGCCUGUGCUACAAAGUCCGGGACCUCAUGAAGCCCAUUCCACACUGUGGCCCACGGUCUUAGGAAGAGGUCAGAGCAAGGACAGUGUGUGCUGGGUGAAGCAGCAGGAGGAGACCAGUUAUCCACCCUUCCCCCUGGGAACUAGGAUCUCACCAAGGCCCAUCAGAGCUGCUUUGUUCCCCACUCCUUGAUGAAGCAUGUUUGGUGUCAGCCAUCCCUCUGUCCCUACCUGCUGCAGGGCAUGGCUGGCAUUCCCUGCCCUCUACCCUGAAUUCCCUAGCCCAGGGGCGGGGCUUCCCCUCUCCCAGAGGCUCUGCACUAUAUGAUCCGAACAUUUUGGUGCCCUUCUCUUUUGCUCUCUAUCUCUCUGCUAUUCCUCUCUCUGUAUCUCUCCUCCUUUUCUCCUUCUCCUCCUCUCUCUCCUCUCUCUGCGCAUGACCCUCCCCCUCUCAGCGGCUGAGAGCUGCUUCCAAUAA